GUGCACUAUUUGACGCUGUAACGGACCGUUUUGCCCAAAAGAGGUUAAAAACCGUUUAGGUGAUAUUCCCCUUUUUCAGCUGCACCGACAGCUACUGCAAGCACCAAUCUCCUGAACUGCAAACCCAGAGAAUACUCGAAACUCCCGAACUGGAGACACACGAAUAACUGCUAGCAGACGAACAGGAAAAAAACCCAAGCGGCUUACACUCCUGG